UGUUCCUACGGGGGGCAGCAGUGGGGGAUAUUGCACAAUGGGGGAAACCCUGAUGCAGCGACGCCGCGUGAGUGAAGAAGUAUUUCGGUACGUAAAGCUCUAUCAGCAGGGAAGGAAAAUGACGGUACCUGACUAAGAAGCCCCGGCUAACUACGUGCCAGCAGCCGCGGUAAUACGUAGGGGGCAAGCGUUAUCCGGAUUUACUGGGGGUAAAGGGAGCGUAGACGGCUGUGCAAGUCUGAAGUGAAAUGCCGGGGCCCAACCCCGGAACUGCUUUGGAAACCGUACAGCUAG
rnacentral:rRNA from 1 species